GACGAACGCUGGCGGCGCGCUUAACACAUGAAAGUCGAACGGAAAGGCCCUGCUUUUGUGGGGUGCUCGAGUGGCGAACGGGUGAGUAACACGUGAGUAACCUGCCCUUGACUUUGGGAUAACUUCAGGAAACUGGGGCUAAUACCGGAUAGGAGCUCCUGCUGCAUGGUGGGGGUUGAAAAGUUUCGGCGGUUGGGGAUGGACUCGCGGCUUAUCAGCUUGUUGGUGGGGUAGUGGCUUACCAAGGUUUUGACGGGUAGCCGGCCUGAGAGGGUGACCGGCCACAUUGGGACUGAGAUACGGCCCAGACUCCUACGGGAGGCAGCAGUGGGGAAUAUUGCACAAUGGGCGGAAGCCUGAUGCAGCAACGCCGCGUGCGGGAUGACGGCCUUCGGGUUGUAAACCGCUUUCGCCUGUGACGAAGCGUGAGUGACGGUAAUGGGUAAAGAAGCACCGGCUAACUACGUG
rnacentral:rRNA from 1 species